UUCAGAAUUUCAGCUAAAGCUCCAAGGCUGAAACAAAGGUCAAAGUGUAUGUAUGUAUCCCAGAAUAUGAAUAUCAACCUGAUGUUAUUUGAAAAGGGAUCCUGCCCAAGAAAGUUUUCUGCCAGGGAAAGAAGAUCCCAGCAGUAAGGAGUUGUGGGGUAUGACCAGGGGGAAGUUUUGUAACUGGUGGAUCAUACCCUUGGAAGAAUGCACGCUGCCCAAGAGAAGGAAAAUCAGCUUUAAACACCUGCCAUAUCCACCAAGCCCUAGGUCAUUUUGGUACAGUAGCAGUCAAGUAAGAACUGUCCUGUUAUGCCUGACCUCUUCUCCCCUCCCUGACCUUGGUCCGGGUGGGCUCAGAACUCAGUAAGAUGGCAGAAGAGAAACUUUUUGGUGAGAAGAGAAGGAUCCUGCUCCUUCCCUCACUGACAGUGGCUAGCUCUAGCAGACCCUAGCUGAAUGGAGAACAUAAGAUUUAAUGUUAACUGAACUUUGGAGUGUUGACUAUUAUUUGGAUGUAGUCUUUAAUUUUGAAAAAAUUCAAACCUACAGAAAUGUUGAAAUAGUAAUCUAAUAAACACUUCAUACCUUUUACCAGUUAAUAACAUUUGGCUACAAGUAUAUAUUAUAUAUACUGCAUGCUUUGUUUUGGCCAGUUGAAUGGGGCUGUACCAUGUGAAAAUGACACUUUACCCCUAAAUACUUCAGCUUUUUUAUCCUAAAGAUUAAAAUAAUCUCCUGCAUAAUGCCGUUAUCACACUCAAGACUUCACCACUGAUACAACAUUAUAUAAUAUAUAGUCCAUAUUCAGAUUUCCCCAAUUGUCUGUCUGAGACUAGUUAUUUUAAGUUACUGAACUGAGACUUACCAUUUCUGGUGAUCAUAUGAUUUUCUGUUACUUACCAGGGAAGUCAUGGGGAUUACUUGAAUUUUUUUCUCUAAGGCAGAGGUCGGUUUUCUGCUGAAUGUGUUUAAUAGACCAGUAAGAGACAAAAAUAAAGAUUUUUGCAUGAAACCCAUCAUUUCUGCAUGGUCAAAAGUUGGGUACACUUUUAAAAAGGGUGUCUCAAUUCACUGUGCUUUUGCAUUGUUCAAGAAUAGAUUUCCUAAAGAGGAAAGAAAAUUGAUGGAGUGAUGAUAAUUGUUGAAGCUAGGUGAUAUGGUUCAUUAAACUCUUCUCUCUACUGUUGUGUAUGUUUGAAAUUUUUCAUAAUAAAAAGUUAAAGGAU